rnacentral:lncRNA from 1 species
AAUGACAAGUGCUGCAGGUCUAAGAGGCAGUUGGAAUUGGGUUGGGUGUAAAAGGAGUUCAGCAAUUUCUAAACUGCUGUGAUGCCUUCUCAGGGUAAAAUGAGGCCAGGCAAGGACAGGACCCUAUCAGUGUUCUCCUAGAGACUACUGAGGGGAUGAAACACACAGCUGAUUGGGACUGGGCUCCACAGUGUCACUCACUGGCAUCCUCUGGCACUUUCCUAGAAGGAGCCGCAGGGGUUUGCUAGGUUCACCUCUAUCCCCACUGUUCUCCAAAAACAUCCAAUGCAACCUAACAUAGGAGACUGAGAAAAGUUAAAAAUAAUGUCUCCUUUUAAUAAUUUCUUCUCUUUCCUCAUGACUUUCCUAGGACCUGGUUAGUACUCAGGGGCUAUUCCAGAGCACCCAUUUGAAGAAUUGAACCCAUACGGUGUGUUCAACUGGGAUCCUGGGAUGUUGCUGCUACAGAAAUUAAUAUCCGAAGGCCAUGCUUCCUUUGUUCUCCCAGGAAUAGAAAUAUGUGUAUUCACAAGGAAACAUACUUCCAGAGCACUAAUAAUUGCUAUACCAUCUUUAUCAUUAUUUUGCAAAAUCUAUGCACCACCUAAACUGUUUGCGUCAAUCAAUCUUUGUUUCUCUCUUUCUACUUUUUUCUUUUGCUUCCCCAUCUCUCUCACCCCUUCCUUCCUUCCCUUUUUCUUUCUCUCUUUUUCUCUUCCUUUCUUUCCACAAAUGAAAAUCUUAAAAAAAAAGAAACUUUAUCCCUGGAUUUUACUUGACAGUAAGAAUUAAAUAAAAAGCAAUGAAAACAACUCUCAUUAUUAAAUUUCAGCAAGAUUCAGAUGCUUACCAAGGAUCUAAGACUGAGGUUUGACCUUUGUUUUUGUUUUUAACUUGCUAAAGGAAAUUGGUGAGUGUUCAUAACAUUUUAGCCUCCUCUCCCAAAAAAAGAGUCUUAUUCUUGAUGUAAUCAGAGAAAAUGGAAAGGGAAUAGAUUUUUUACAAUAUGACUCAAUGUCGGUCAGUGCCCUGUUUGUAUGACAUUUAAAGGUUCACAUCUGUCAGCACCACAACAGGAAAACACUGAUUUAAAUUUUUUUUGUCUUUUUGUCUUUUCUAGGGCCACACCCACAGCGUAUGGAGGUUCCUAGGCUAGGGGACCAAUCAGUGCUGUUGCUGCUGGCCUACACCAAAGCCACAGCAAAGCAGAACCCAAGCCAUGUCUGUGACCUACACCACAGCUCAUGGCAAUGCCAGAUCCCCGACCCACUGAGCGAGGCCAGGGAUCGAACCCACAACCUCAGGGUUAUUAGCCGGGUUCAUUAACCACUGAGCCAUGACAGGAACUCCAAUUUUUUUUUUUUUAAUUUUCCCACUGUACAGCAAGGGGAUCAAGUUAUCCUUACAUGUAUACAUUACAAUUACAUUUUUCCCCACCCUUUUUUCUGUUGCAGCAUGAUAUCUAGACAAAGUUCUUAAUGCUAUUCAGCAGGAUCUCCUUGUAAAUCUAUUCUAAGUUGUGUCUGAUAAGCCCAAUUUCUUAUUGUGUGUGUCCUUUGUGCUGAGUACUCUUCUAGCUGUUCGUGAAAAAGCGGUAAAAAAAAUCCCUCCCUUCGUGGAAUUACAUUUUCUGAGUUGAGAUUGAAAAUACACAAAUAAGCUAUAAGUAAAAUACAUAGUAGGUAGAGGAAGAUGUUUAUAAUAGAAACUAAUGAAGCCAGGAACGAAGAUAGAGAAUGCUGGGGUGGCGUUUAGUUGCAAUUGUUAAAGAAAGCCUCAAGCAGCAGGAACAGCACAAGGGGCUGUACUGGAGGAAGAGGGAGGUGGCAGGAGCAAGUGGGUGAGAAUGGGAGUGGGAGAGAUGGGGACAGUGAGGUGAAUGGAGGGGUCGGUGUAUCCACUUUGACUUUGCAGGCCACUUGCACUUUCCCUCUGGGGAGUGUAAUAACAAGGGGACUAACAUUUGCCUUGAUUGCACACUAUCUCCUGGUAGCACUCUCUCCCACUCCAUGGCACCAUUCCUACUCCAGUUCCCUUCCAGAUGGUCCACCAUUUUGACUCUUGAUUUCCUAUGGGGUCCUAUUCUUAGGAAUAUAGCUGAAAAACCUACUCACAAUGAGUUAGGGGGCUGCUAUGUCUGGAAAGUUUGUGGGAGGCCUUUUUUUUUUUAAUAAAAUUUCUCUCCUGACUGGGUUUAUGCCAAAAUAAGUUAGGCCAGUGCCCUGCUUCCAUAUCCUAUUGCAGAGUCAGGGAGAAUAAAACCCUUCUGCAAUUUCUAUUUUCCACAUCCACACUUGGGUGCAUGGAUUAGUUAUCUAACCAGAAGGACAAAGGAAAAAAACUGUAAGGGAAAAAACUGCAGGAAAGGCACAUUAAAAUAACUCUAAAUUUAUGCAGAAAUAUAAACUAGGUGAAACUAUAUAUGAUGAGUCAGAGUAGAGCCAUCAACUUUGUGAUUUCUAGGUUGGGAGGAGUAAGAUCCUUGCAGAUACUAAUGUUUCACGGAAUUGCAGAAUGAAGGAGCUGGCUGUGUGUGAUGGAGGUUUGAGGAGAGUUGAAAGUCUCCCCGGAUGCCAAAUGCAUCCCAUAUUUUAUCCUAGUGUGGGGAAUGUGGAUAAAAGGAAUUGAUUGUUAAAUGUAGGUUAUCUGGGAGUAGUGACUUAAUCCUUCAUAAUCAGUAAUUGAUGCCAUCACUAGGAUUAAUCCAUUGGAUUGGCUUAUUUUCCAGUAGGAAAUAAGACCCACCGUGUAUUAGUUCAGUUAUAGAAGAAAGGGGAGAACUUAGG